GCACCUUAUAAAGCGGGUGCCGGGAUUGGCGUCCUGAAAUUGAUUACUGAGCAUAACCGCGCUCAUGCGGUUUUUUC
rfam:Escherichia phage 1720a-02, complete genome.